CGUAGCUUCUUGAACCUUAGGGAAAAGCCGCAUAACACCAUUAACUUGAAAACCACUUAUCUUAUCCCAGAACUGCUCCUACCACAAUAUAAGGGGUAAAAAAUGGUUUUUAGUUUGUGAGGUCAUGCGGAUUUUUCACCAAGAUUCAAGUGGUUAUC
rfam:Triticum aestivum genome assembly, contig: Triticum_aestivum_CS42_TGACv1_scaffold_435690_5DL